UACAGAGGUCUCAAGCGUUGUUCGGAUUCAUUGGGCGUAAAGGGUGCGUAGGCGGCGCGGUAAGUCGGGGUGUGAAAUCUCGGGGCUUAACUCCGAAACUGCAUUCGAUACUGCCGUGCUUGAGGACUGGAGAGGAGACUGGAAUUUACGGUGUAGCGGUGAAAUGCGUAGAUAUCGUAAGGAAGACCAGUGGCGAAGGCGGGUCUCUGGACAGUUCCUGACACUGAGACACGGAAGGCCAGGGGGAGCAAAACGGG
rnacentral:rRNA from 1 species